AAGCCAAAGAAAGAUCUGUGAUCGUCUCCACCACUGUGUAAAGAGCAAACACAAUCCAGUACAUCAUCCAUCGCACCUGUCAAACCAUAAACACAACAACAUCCACUCAAGGUGAAAAAUUACAGAUAGCUCACCAUCUCCCCGAUGCCAGCAGCACUCAUGCAGCCCCAGAACAUGACACUCCCACCAUCAUGUUUAUGGUAGACAAGACACAAUUGUCUUUGUACUCCCCACCUGGUUGCUGCCACACAGACUUGACACCUUCUGAACCAAAUGGGUUUAUCUUGGUGUGAGACCACAGGACAUGGUUCCAGUAAUCCUGGUCCUUAGUUUGCAUGUCUGCAGCAAAUUGUUUGCAAGCUUUCUUGCAUUGUCUUUAGAAGAGGUUUCCUUCUAGGACCACAAUCAUGCAGACUAAUUUGAUGCAGUGUGCGGCAUACGAUCUGAGCACUGACAUGCUGACCUCCUAUAUUUUCAAUCUUUGCAGCAAUGCUGGAAGCACUCAUCCGUCUGUUUUUCAAAGACAAUCUUUGGAUGUGAUGCUGAGAACGUGCACUCAGCUUCCUUGGCUGACCAUGGCGAGGCCUGUUCUGGGAAGAACCUGUCCUCUUAAAGCACUAAAUAGUCUGGGCCACUGUGCUGCAGCACAGAUUCAGAGUGUUGGCUAUCGCUUUAUAGCCUAGGCCAUCUUUAUGUAAGGCAACAAUUUGUUUUUCAGGUCUUCUGGGAGUUGUUUGCCAUGAGGUGCAAUGUUGAACUUUCAGUGGCCUGGUUGAGAGAGUGGAAGAGCUUUUAUACCAAAUUUAACUCACCAGCUAUCUGUGGAUACCCGAGACAGUGUAAUAUGCCCGAGAUGUGUGUAAUAAUAAUAUAUAAUAAUAAUAAUGUGAGAGUAUGUGAUUGGCCAUUGGCCAAGGAUAAAAAAAACAUUUAUACAACUAACCUAUAUUCAAGUAUACAGAAUCUGUUUUCAUGACUUUUCCAGGUUUUCCAUGACUGUAUGAACCCUGAGGCAAAAUAAUUGUCAAGUGUCCAGUGUUUUGGUGUAGUUUCUGUGUUUAUGUCAUGUGACUUCCCCAUGUGCGGUGAUUCCUUUGUUUCAUUUUCCACCUGUGUCUCACCCCUGUGUCUAAUUAGCUGUAGUAUGUGCUAUGUAUUUAAGUCCCUGUGGUUAGUUUGCUCCUUGUUCGGUAUUGAAGUGCCAUGGUUUUUACCCUGAUUCCUGUGUGUUGAGUGUUUUGCAAAUAAAUACGUGUAUGUUUUUAUAA